rnacentral:rRNA from 1 species
UAACGAAUAUUGGGCAAUGGGCGCAAGCCUGACCCAGCGACGCCGCGUGAAGGAUGAAGUCCUUCGGGAUGUAAACUUCUUUUAGGGUGCUGAAAGUCCGCAAGGAUUGAUCUAACCCAGAAAAAGUCACGGCUAACUCUGUGCCAGCAGCCGCGGUAAUACAGAGGUGGCAAGCGUUGUUCGGAAUCACUGGGCUUAAAGCGUGUGUAGGCAGAUCAGUAAGUGUCUUGUGAAAUCCCUCGUCGCAACCGAGGAACUGCUGGGCAAACUACUAAUCUUGAGGUAGGCAGGGGUGCUUGGAACUCUUGGUGGAGCGGUGAAAUGCGUAGAUAUCAAGAGGAACGCCUGUGGUGAAAACGGAGCACUGGGCCUAUUCUGACGCUGAGACACGAAAGCGUGGGGAGUGAACG